UUUCACAGUUUUUUACUGUUUUUCUCGACAGUUUCUUACUGUACAAGUUGUUUACAGUUUGUUACUGUAGCUUUGUUGUUUUCACAGUAUUUUAAUGUAUUUUCAACAGUUUUUUACUGCAUAAGCUUUGUACAGUAGGCUACUGUAGUUUUCCAAUGCAUUAUGGGAAAUAUUACUCUGAAUACAGUAUUACCAACCAACUGCAAAACACAAUGACAAACGUAUAUUUAUAUCUUAAAUGCUUAAUUUUUUGGGAGAUAUUUGGUUUAAUGUCUGUUUUCACAUCAGAUGCUCGGUGUGUUCCUUUAACAUAAAUCACGUGCCUUUUCUGAGGCUUUAAUGAAAUCACCAGCCAAUUCAAUAGACAUACCAUCAGUUCUUAAUAUUGUUGCCUCUAGGUCACAAAUUGUAUUUUUAAGAUUAGUUUAGGCGAGAAUAUAUAUAUGUAUAAUCUUCAAAUAGCAGUCAAUUAGUUAAGAAAGCGCUAAUUUUUGUAUUCGAUUAAACAAAUGCGGAGAGUUCAGGCGCGAGUUGGUCACGUGAUGUGCUCCUCAGUUCUGUCAGUAGGGGGAGUGGGAGAACGCUUGUGUGUCGUCGCUCGUCGUAUCUGUUCUGCUAAUCUAGCGCGUAUUUCUUUAUUAAUAUCUGCUGGGUGAAUAUUAAUACGUAUAUGCUAACAUUAAUUUUGUGACCACAAAAUGACAGAGAGCUAUUAUGAGAUAUUGUGUCGUCGUGUUUGUCUUCACUCACUUCAUCAUUAUCUGGUAAGUGCUAUAUGCAAUAUCUGGUAUGAGACUUUAUUGGCACUAAAGGGUUCUUUCGGCUAAAUUUUACUUAAUUUCUGUCAUAACAGCAAACAACUUCUGCAACUACAUAAUGAUUGUCUGCGUGUGUGCAAAAGAAAGCAUGUUCACUGUGUAAAACCCCGCCAGCGCUUUUUCAAAUUAACGGUCAGGGGGAGUCUGAGCUGAUCGUGUUGUGUUGAUGACAGAGACUUUGCUGAGUGUAUGUAAAUCUGGGCUACAGUCCACAACAAAUUUUCUACGGUAGUUUUACGCCUGCAUGCUCGUCACUCGUCUAUCGCGGGAUAUCUUCACUACAGCGGGCAUCGCAUUGGAGAGAUCCUGUGCUUGUUGCGUGGCGGUGUGUUUGUGUGCUCACUUGGAUUGAGACCAGCAGUGCUUUUUUAAACAGUGGGACCUGAUAUGGAUUAAUCCAAUGAUCAACGUUUUCCUUUGUAUCCCUGUUUUGUAUGCUGCCAUUACAUGAUGGUCAUAUGUCCCGGAUGAUCGGGAGAAGUCACGUGAUUCUUUAUGACAUCAAGAUGUGGUUUGGGAAGGACCUUCAUCUAAAUCUGAAGAAAGGACAUACUAGCACAAAAAGGUGUUUCUGAUAUGGAGAAAAACCCUGCACUGCUCAUUUUAUUUCUUCAUCUUGAGAAUACAGCAAGUUUAACUUUUGUCUGGAAAAUGAUUCAGCAAAGCUAACACCAACAACAAUUUUUCAUGGCACUUCAAACCCCCUUGAUGUGAGGAGCCAGCAUCAGAAUGGAUGGUGUCAGGUGGAUCUCAAGACUUGGCCAUGUUCUAGAUUAUAACUGGAUUAUCACAAGUGCUGUCGCCCCUGCUGUAUACAGUAUGAUACCCCCACCACCUACACCAGCUGUAGAAAAUGUCGGUCCUGGAGUGCCGUUGUCCUGCAGAGUUCUGCUCCAGCUCUAAACAAACACACCUGAACAACUAGAUCUAAAGAGUCACCUGAAAACUACAGGUAGGCAAGGUUUUAUCAGGGUUGGAAAUAAAAUCUGCAGGAUUUUGGCACUCCAGAACCGAUGUUGCCUACCCCUGACCUACACCUUCAUCCUGCCACCACCACUCAUACUACCUACAAAAAAACUGUAUUGUAAUUAUGCUUUUCACUGUAUUGUAUGAUGUGGUUUUCUCAUUUAGGGUAACUACACUAUGGCAACCAUUUGAUACAUUGAUUGCUGACUGAUUUUGUUAAUUUUUAUUUAACCUUUUGUAUAAAAUCUAAUCAUUUUUUGGUUAUUUUUGUUAAUAUUGUUACAAAUAUACAGUUAAAACUGCACAAUAAA